rnacentral:rRNA from 1 species
GACGAACGCUGGCGGCGUGCCUAAUACAUGCAAGUAGAACGCUGAAGGAGGAGCUUGCUUCUCUGGAUGAGUUGCGAACGGGUGAGUAACGCGUAGGUAACCUGCCUGGUAGCGGGGGAUAACUAUUGGAAACGAUAGCUAAUACCGCAUAAUAGUAGAUGUCGCAUGACAUUUGCUUAAAAGGUGCAAUUGCAUCACUACCAGAUGGACCUGCGUUGUAUUAGCUAGUUGGUGAGGUAACGGCUCACCAAGGCGACGAUACAUAGCCGACCUGAGAGGGUGAUCGGCCACACUGGGACUGAGACACGGCCCAGACUCCUACGGGAGGCAGCAGUAGGGAAUCUUCGGCAAUGGACGGAAGUCUGACCGAGCAACGCCGCGUGAGUGAAGAAGGUUUUCGGAUCGUAAAGCUCUGUUGUAAGAGAAGAACGAGUGUGAGAGUGGAAAGUUCACACUGUGACGGUAUCUACCA